CAAUAGCGUAUAUCUAAGUUGUUGCAGUUAAAAAGCUCGUAGUUGGAUUUCGGAUGGGAUUUGCCGGUCCGUCGUUACGAUGUGCACUGGCCAGUCCUAUCUUGUUGUCGGGGACUAGCUCCUUGGAUUCACUUCCUGGGACUAGGAGCUGACGAGGUUACUUUGAGUAAAUUAGAGUGUUCAAAGCAAGCCUACGCUCUGAAUACAUUAGCAUGGAAUAACACGAUAGGACUCUGGCUUAUCUUGUUGGUCUGUGAGACCAGAGUAAUGAUUAAGAGGGACAGUCGGGGACAUUCGUAUUUCAUUGUCAGAGGUGAAAUUCUUGGAUUUAUGAAAGACGAACUUCUGCGAAAGCAUUUGUCAAGGAUGUUUUCAUUAA
rnacentral:rRNA from 1 species